CNACCUGCCGAUGACUCGGGGAUAGCCUUUCGAAAGAAAGAUUAAUACCCGAUGGCAUAGUUCUNCNNCAUGGUGGAACUAUUAAAGAAUUUCGGUCAUCGAUGGGGAUGCGUUCCAUUAGGUUGUUGGCGGGGUAACGGCCCACCAAGCCUUCGAUGGAUAGGGGUUCUGAGAGGAAGGUCCCCCACAUUGGAACUGAGACACGGUCCAAACUCCUACGGGAGGCAGCAGUGAGGAAUAUUGGUCAGUGGACGAGAGUCUGAACCAGCCAAGUAGCGUGAAGGAUGACUGCCCUAUGGGUUGUAAACUUCUUUUAUACGGGAAUAAAGUGAGGCACGUGUGCCUAUUUGUAUGUACCGUAUGAAUAAGGAUCGGCUAACUCCGUGCCAGCAGCCGCGGUAAUACGGAGGAUCCGAGCGUUAUCCGGAUUUAUUGGGUUUAAAGGGAGCGUAGGCGGACGCUUAAGUCAGUUGUGAAAGUUUGCGGCUCAACCGUAAAAUUGCAGUUGAUACUGGGUGUCUUGAGUACAGUAGAGGCAGGCGGAAUUCGUGGUGUAGCGGUGAAAUGCUUAGAUAUCACGAAGAACUCCGAUUG
rnacentral:rRNA from 1 species